UGGAAACAAUGGAUGACAUGAAGACAGAAAAAGAACAGGGAGUAGCCUUACUUGUAAAUGGUGACGGUAAAACUGAGAAAAAUGAGAAUACAAAAAUUACAAUUUAAGUAGCUUUUAAAACUCAACGAAGAUCAUUUAUUUCUAUAUUAGGAUGACGCACAAAUUAGUAGUACCAUGUCCAUGGAUAAUAAAAUAAAUGGAUAGGACUCUAGCCGACGUCACAGUCUAAACCUUGUUGCAAUCUGUGACGUCACGCGUAUUGCCAAAGUUCUCGGC